rnacentral:rRNA from 1 species
GCCGAUGGCGACCGGCGCACGGGUGAGUAACACGUAUCCAACCUGCCGUCUACUCUUGGACAGCCUUCUGAAAGGAAGAUUAAUACAAGAUGGCAUCAUGAGUCCGCAUGUUCACAUGAUUAAAGGUAUUCCGGUAGACGAUGGGGAUGCGUUCCAUUAGAUAGUAGGCGGGGUAACGGCCCACCUAGUCUUCGAUGGAUAGGGGUUCUGAGAGGAAGGUCCCCCACAUUGGAACUGAGACACGGUCCAAACUCCUACGGGAGGCAGCAGUGAGGAAUAUUGGUCAAUGGGCGAGAGCCUGAACCAGCCAAGUAGCGUGAAGGAUGACUGCCCUAUGGGUUGUAAACUUCUUUUAUAAAGGAAUAAAGUCGGGUAUGGAUACCCGUUUGCAUGUACUUUAUGAAUAAGGAUCGGCUAACUCCGUGCCAGCAGCCGCGGUAAUACGGAGGAUCCGAGCGUUAUCCGGAUUUAUUGGGUUUAAAGGGAGCGUAGAUGGAUGUUUAAGUCAGUUGUGAAAGUUUGCGGCUCAACCGUAAAAUUGCAGUUGAUACUGGAUAUCUUGAGUGCAGUUGAGGCAGGCGGAAUUCGUGGUGUAGCGGUGAAAUGCUUAGAUAUCACGAAGAACUCCGAUUGCGAAGGCAGCCUGCUAAGC